rnacentral:misc_RNA from 1 species
AAGUCGUAACAAGGUUUCCGUAGGUGAACCUGCGGAAGGAUCAUUAUCGAGUUUUGACCGGGUUGUAGCUGGCCUUCCGAGGCAUGUGCACGCCCUGCUCAUCCACUCUACACCUGUGCACUUACUGUGGGCUUCAGAUCGCGAGGCAGGCUCUUUACCGGGCUUGCGGAGCGCAUCUGUGCCUGCGUUUAUCACAAACUCUAUAAAGUAACGGAAUGUGUAUUGCGAUGUAACGCAUCUAUAUACAACUUUCAGCAACGGAUCUCUUGGCUCUC